rnacentral:miRNA from 1 species
UGCCUAUUUACAUUAUUAUA